rnacentral:rRNA from 1 species
CCUGACGCAGCGACGCCGCGUGGGGGAAGACGGCCUUCGGGUUGUAAACCUCUUUCGACAGGGACGAAGCCACUCGGGUUAAUAGCCCAGAGGGUGACGGUACCUGCAGAAGAAGCUCCGGCUAACUUCGUGCCAGCAGCCGCGGUAAUACGAAGGGAGCAAGCGUUGUCCGGAUUUAUUGGGCGUAAAGAGCGUGUAGGCGGCCAGACAGGUCCGUUGUGAAAACUGGAGGCUUAACCUCCAGACGUCGAUGGAAACCGUCUGGCUAGAGUCCGGAAGAGGAGAGUGGAAUUCCUGGUGUAGCGGUGAAAUGCGCAGAUAUCAGGAAGAACACCCGUGGCUAAGGCGGCUCUCUAGUACGGUACUGACGCUGAGACGCGAAAGCGUGGGGAGCGAACAGGAUUAGAUACCCUGGUAGUCCACGCCGUAAACGAUGGGUGCUAGGUGUGGGGGGGUGUCGACUCCCUCCGUGCCGAAGCUAACGCAUUAAGCACCCCGCCUGGGGAGUACGGCCGCAAGGCUA